UUUGUUUCUAUAUUAUUAUUGCUUUUGUUUUUUUGCAUGUGAUCUGUGAUUUGAAUUACUUUUUGCGGACUAUUUUUACUGUUAUUACAAGUCGAUUUUGUGAAAACAAAUGUUCUUUGGAUGACGUUACUACUAUUUAUGGUCUUUGUACUUUACAAGAUUGCGAUGUAUUCUUCAAGGGUAUUCGCACGGCCAGAUUAGUACGCGAAAUCGAUUUCGCGAGAUACCAUUUCUACGAGAGAGUCGGUAUAUACGAACGCAGUAUUCAAUCGGGUAUAAAAUCAUUACAAGGAUCAACAAUGACUGUGGUUUAUGAGCCUCUUCCAAUUUUUGCGCUCUACAAAAUUACCACUAAGCUAGUUUACUGGGACGAAAGAUCUCUUUUUUUCGAACAUGAAGUAAUUACACUUCGCGAUGGUAAAGUCAGACAUCUCUUGAUAUCUCGACAAUAUGCUAUUGGAUCUACUAAAGCGACAACAAAGGUUCUUCUAAAAGGUCUACCCGGCUCGAGUAAUAUACCAAAGUGUCCAUCACACAUCGAAUGUUGGUUGAGAAGUAUGCAAAAAUCAAGUAAUAAGCUUCGUAAUAAACAGUAAGGGAUAA